rnacentral:lncRNA from 1 species
GGAAUUAAGAGGGUAUAAGAUGUCUACUUUCGAAGUUUGAUGAAAAAAAAAGAUCAUGACAUAGUUUAAGGAGAUAUAUAUAUAAGGCAACUUCUUUUUUUUUUUUUCUUUCAUCCUUCAGUGCGCCACCAAAGGUUGGAAUUAUAGGCUUUUCCUCUAUCGGAGUCCAACAGUCAAAAGAGGCCCAUCGAUGUCUGCACAGUAUUAAGUCCGCAUGGGCCCAAUGGGUCGAAAGUGCUUACGUACUACGGGCUCAGGAGUAUACAUUUGCCAUUGUGGUCCGUCACAGCUUCGUGUCUUCCUCGUGGAAAUUUCCUCGCCAGCAUUCUACACGGCAAUUUCUACGCUUCCGCCGAUGGACAUGGACCUCUCCACUCUCUCACAGUCUCCACAUCUUCGCCUUGUUUAGUUCACCUCGAAAUCUAAAAAAAAUUCAAGAUUUCCUGUCAUAUCGAAUCUUGCGGCACAU